GGCUGCGACCUAACACACCCGGAUCGCAACAACAACAGGAGUCCUGUGCAAUGCCCGGGGUGACCAAAAAGCCCUCGAGACGUAAACACAGCCCAAAACGCAUCAGCACGUUGACUCAAACGCCCGCAACGCCAGGGCAAAGGCAAUUUGGUUAACAGGGGGAAGCGAACAGACGGAGACGCCUGGAGACCCAGGUGCCACAACCCGGUUAAUCGCGGUGCAAAUAAGGGCAAGUCCCCUCCCCUUGUCCGUGUGGUCUUGACAACGACACUAGUUCAUUCUACUAACAAGGCGGGCGGGGGGUCAGAUGGGCCACACACACCCAUUUUCCUCAACGGGACCCCAGCGCG
rnacentral:lncRNA from 1 species